UACCAGCACCCCGAGUGGUCGCCACGAUUAUUGGGCCUAAAGCGUCCGUAGCCGGUCCUACAAGUCUUCCGUUAAAUCCACCUGCUCAACAGAUGGGCUGCGGAAGAUACUAUAGGGCUAGGAGGCGGGAGAGGCAAGCGGUACUCAGUGGGUAGGGGUAAAAUCCUCUGAUCCAUUGAAGACCACCAGUGGCGAAGGCGGCUUGCCAGAACGCGCUCGACGGUGAGGGAUGAAAGCUGGGGGAUCAAACCGG
rnacentral:rRNA from 1 species